GACGUAGGGCGCGAGCGUUGUCCGGAUUUAUUGGGCGUAAAGCGCGUGUAGGCGGCUUAGCAAGUCGGGCGUGAAAGCCCUCGGCUCAACCGAGGAAGUGCACCCGAAACUGCUGAGCUUGAGUGCCGGAGAGGAUGGCGGAAUACCCCCAAGUAGAGGUGAAAUUCGUAGAUAUGGGGUGGAACACCGGUGGCGAAGGCGGCCAUCUGGACGGUAACUGACGCUGAGACGCGAAAGCGUGGGUAGCAAACAGG
rnacentral:rRNA from 1 species